rnacentral:rRNA from 1 species
UAAGGAAUAUUGGACAAUGGUGGCAACACUGAUCCAGCCAUGCCGCGUGAAGGAUGAAGGCCCUAUGGGUUGUAAACUUCUUUUGUACGGGAAAAAACCUCUUUACGUGUAAAGAGCUGAUUGUACUGUAAGAAUAAGGAUCGGCUAACUCCGUGCCAGCAGCCGCGGUAAUACGGAGGAUCCAAGCGUUAUCCGGAUUCAUUGGGUUUAAAGGGUGCGUAGGCGGAAUGAUAAGUCAGUGGUGAAAUCUCUCGGCUUAACCGAGAAACUGCCAUUGAUACUGUCAAUCUUGAGUACAUUUGAUGUGGGCGGAAUGUGUCAUGUAGCGGUGAAAUGCUUAGAUAUGACACAGAACACCGAUUGCGAAGGCAGCUCACAAAACUGUAACUGACGCUGAGGCACGAAAGCGUGGGUAUCAAACAG